UCCAUCUCUGAGCUACUCCCCUGACAAGGGGGAUCCACCAUAGGGCACCUGGGCUGAGUUCCAGGGAAAAUUGGCGGGGGAUAGCCUGGGCCUCUUGGACCUAGUUCAGGCCUGCUUUGGGACUGUCCUAGCAUCCCAUUGGAUGUGUAGGAUAUACUUGCUGAUUGUCUGGGAGAAUCCUUCAAUUGAAUUAAAGAAUUAGGUCUAGAAAUCCUCAAACCCAACCAAAGAAAUCUGGAAAUCCUCAAAUUCAACCACAAAAUCCUAGAUCUGGCACAGCCUUCAAGGAUUCUUCCAGUCCGGUCUCUGCCCCAGGGGGAUGAA
rnacentral:lncRNA from 1 species